GACGAACCAAGCGAACGUUAUUCGGAAUCACUGGGCUUAAAGGGCGCGUAGGCGGGCGGUCAAGUCGAGGGUGAAAUCCCCCAGCUCAACUGGGGAAGUGCCUCCGAUACUGGCCGUCUCGAGGGGGAUAGGGGCGUGCGGAACUUCCGGUGGAGCGGUGAAAUGCGUAGAUAUCGGAAGGAACACCGGUGGCGAAAGCGGCGCGCUGGAUCCCUUCUGACGCUGAGGCGCGAAAGCCAGGGGAGCGAACGGG
rnacentral:rRNA from 1 species